UACGAAGGUGGCAAGCGUUGUUCGGAUUUACUGGGCGUAAAGGGAGCGUAGGUGGUUAGGUAAGCCCUCCGGGAAAUCUUCAGGCUUAACCUGAAAAGGUCGGGGGGGGACUGCCUGGCUAGAGGACGGGAGAGGAGCGCGGAAUUCCCGGUGUAGCGGUGAAAUGCGUAGAGAUCGGGAGGAAGGCCGGUGGCGAAGGCGGCGCUCUGGAACGUUUCUGACACUGAGGCUCGAAAGCGUGGGGGAGCAAACAGG
rnacentral:rRNA from 1 species